rnacentral:sRNA from 1 species
GGCCUCCUCCCCGCAGUCCCUGAGUCCCGCAGGCCCCGCGUCCCCGCUGCACCCCCCCGUCCACUCCCGUGGUCCCCGGUCCGGCAUGGCGCGCGCAGUGGGGCCCGAGCGGAGGCUGCUGGCCGUCUACACCGGCGGCACCAUUGGCAUGCGGAGUGAGCUCGGCGUGCUCGUGCCCGGGACGGGCCUGGCUGCCAUCCUGAGGACACUGCCCAUGUUCCAUGACGAGGAGCACGCCCAAGCCCGCGGCCUCUCUGAGGACACCCUGGUGCUGCCGUGAGUGUGGGCUUCUCCCAGUCCCGGACAGGGCAUGGCUGCUGGGGGGCACCGAUCCUGAGGCUGGGCACUGCUGGCCAGGCCCACGUGAGCCAUUUGCUCACCCCUGUCUCUAACAUCCCCUCAGCUUACAGGGCUUUAGGACUGACCAGCAGUCGCCUUGCACCAGAGCCUGAACCUCUGAGGGUGCCCUGUGCCUGGUCCCACCUUCCCUCCCCACCCUCCUCCCACACCCCCAGCCAGGCUGCUUCGGCAAGUGUGAUGAGGGCGCCCCGUCUAGGAACCCUGUAUAUCAGGAGCCGGCUGGCCCAGGUGGCCUUGCCCCCAGCAUAGAGGUCCUUCCAUUUCUCAGCUCUGGGCCCAGCUCCCUGAUGUCCCCCACAGCUGGGGGUGAGCUGGGAGUUGCCCUCGUGGUGGCUGACCGCCACAGCUGCCACAGGCGAGCCUCCUGCAAGCAUCCUCUCCUGCCUGGGCAUGGGCUGGUCCCAGCCCCCCUCUUCCAGCUGGUGUGGGAAGAAGACUGCUGGGAGUGGCCCAUCCUGACCCACGUCCUUGCCUCUGUGGGGGCUCCAGGUGGAAGGGGGGCCGGGCCCCGUACCUGGGAUGCUGAGAACUUGCUAUGUGCGGAGCCCUUGGCGUAGGGAACCCAGCUCUGCCAGAGGGGAACAGAGCGGGUCAAGGCAUUUAGAGCAGGAGGAGGUGCAGAGCGGGAGCCUGCUGUUCCGCCUCCUGCUGUUUCUGUCCCGCAGCCCAGCCAGCCGCAACCAGAGGAUCCUCUACACCGUGCUGGAGUGCCAGCCCCUCUUCGACUCCAGUGACAUGACCAUCGCUGAGUGGGUUCGCGUUGCCCAGACCAUCGAGAGGCACUACGAGCAGUACCACGGCUUUGUGGUCAUCCACGGCACCGACACCAUGGCCUUUGCUGCCUCGAUGCUGUCCUUCAUGCUGGAGAACCUGCAGAAGACCGUCAUCCUCACUGGGGCCCAGGUGCCCAUCCAUGCCCUGUGGAGCGAUGGCCGUGAGAACCUGCUGGGUGCACUGCUCAUGGCCGGCCAGUAUGUGAUCCCAGAGGUCUGCCUUUUCUUCCAGAAUCAGCUGUUUCGGGGCAACCGGACAACCAAGGUGGACGCUCGGAGGUUCGCAGCUUUCUGCUCCCCGAACCUGCUGCCUCUGGCCACAGUGGGUGCUGACAUCACAAUCAACAGGGAGCUGGUACGGAAGGUGGAUGGGAAGGCUGGGCUGGUGGUGCACAGCAGCAUGGAGCAGGACGUGGGCCUGCUGCGCCUCUACCCUGGGAUCCCUGCCGCCCUGGUUCGGGCCUUCUUGCAGCCUCCCCUGAAGGGCGUGGUCAUGGAGACCUUCGGUUCAGGGAACGGACCCACCAAGCCCGACCUGCUGCAGGAGCUGCGGGUGGCCGCCGAGCGCGGCCUGGUCAUCGUCAACUGUACCCACUGCCUCCAGGGGGCUGUGACCACAGACUAUGCAGCUGGCAUGGCCAUGGCGGGAGCCGGCGUCAUCUCAGGCUUCGACAUGACAUCGGAGGCCGCCCUGGCCAAGCUAUCGUAUGUGCUGGGCCAGCCAGGGCUGAGCCUGGAUGACAGGAAGGAGCUGCUGACCAAGGACCUUCGGGGGGAGAUGACGCCACCCUCGGUGGAAGAGCGCCGGCCCUCACUGCAGGGCAACACGCUGGGCCGUGGGGUCUCCUGGCUCCUCAGUCUGAGUGGCAGCCAGGAGGCAGAUGCCCUGCGGAAUGCCCUGGUGCCCAGCCUGGCCUGUGCUGCCGCCCACGCCGGUGACCUGGAGGCGCUGCAGGCGCUUAUGGAGCUGGGCAGUGACCUGGGCCUGGUGGACUUUAACGGCCAAACCCCACUGCACGCGGCC